UACAGAGGUCCCGAGCGUUGUUCGGAUUCACUGGGCGUAAAGGGUGCGUAGGUGGUGAGGUAAGUCGGAUGUGAAAUCUCCGAGCUCAACUCGGAAAUGGCAUUGGAAACUACCUUGCUUGAGGGUUGGAGGGGGGACUGGAAUACCUGGUGUAGCAGUGAAAUGCGUAGAUAUCAAGUGGAACACCAGUGGCGAAGGCGAGUCCCUGGACAACUCCUGACACUGAGGCACGAAAGCUAGGGGAGCAAACAGG
rnacentral:rRNA from 1 species